AAGUUAUAUGGUGAAGACUGAAGAUAGAAGAUCUACAGAUUUCCUUUCAUAGCAUGCAGCCAACGAGUUUCACGGUUUGCGGAGGUCUUUGGAUGGUUGUGGAGAGGACAGAGACUUCAAUAAACCCGUUGAAGAAAUCACUUGCGUCUGCACAUGCUUGGGAGGGAGUCACACUAACAAAGCAGUAUAGAAAGAGUAACAAUGCUAACAUUGAUCACAGCAGCAUGUUGUAUGUUUGACCUCACUGUCAUGAACUUGAAUGUGCUGCUCAUAUACAGUAUUUACACAAACCAUGUCAUCUGUUUACCCACUUGUCUUUCAGGCUACCUGAGCCUGUAUGUGGUCUAUGUGUUGACUGUUAUCAUCAGUGCUUACAUCUACAACCGGCAGAAGUAUUCAGUGAGCUCAGAUUUUCCAAAUGAGCCUCAAAUUCCAGAGUACAGGCUACUUCUUCCAUACUCAGAGUCCACCAGUCACAUCCUGCUGAGGAGGAAGACGUGGUGGAGGUGGAGAGUCUUCAAAAUUUUAAAGACUCCUCUGGAGGUUCUGCUGCUGCUCUGCAUCCCUGUCGUCAACCCAGACAAAGAAGACAAGAACUGAAGACGUCCCCUAAACUGCCUCCACCUCAUCACUGCUCCACUGGUGUCUGUGCUCACCUUCCAGUCGGCAGCAUAUGGAACCAACAUGAUCCAAUGACAGUUCCCUCUCUGGCUCUUUACUCUGUUGUUGGGAGUAUUUCUAUCUGCCAUAGUUUUCUGCUCCACCACCAAUGACUGCCCUCCUAAAUAUCACUCACUCUUUGCUCUCUUCGGGUUCAUAGUCAGUGCAGUGUUGAUCAGUGCAAUGGCCUCUGAAGUGGUCAGUCUUCUGCACAUGCUUGGUGUGGUGCUGAGCCUCAGUAACACUGUGCUGGAGCUCACACUGUUGGCCUGGGGCAUAGCAGGUGAUAUUAAUGCAACUCUAUGUCCUGACAUAAAUGUUUCUGUACCUUACAGAUUUCAAAGAUGUUUGUGACACAAUUUUUUUAUAUUUUCUGCCACAUUGGGAAAAUUGUGCUGAUUUGUAACAUUUUGUACUUUGUUUAAUGUGAAUAUCAGUUUCAUACGAAUUAGUGUUUUAGAUGAAGUUCAUGAGAUUUAAAGUUGUCUGAAUGUAACAUGGGCAUGUUCAUCAGAAGAUGUUACUGGUUGUAAAAAUGUUCCCUGUAACAUUUAGGUGAGAUAUUAAAUUAGUUGAAAUAUGCAUUGUUGUUAAUUAUCUCUGAAUGUGUACCAUGUUGAAUCAUGUUUUUACCUUAGUCAACAACAAAAACUGAACACACAUUAUGUACAGUAAUAACUAAAGGCAGACAGCAAUAACAGUUCUCUAAAUGCUUGAUGAGAAGUGUUGGGUGAAGGGGCUUCAACCACACCAUCUAAGGUCACCACCAGGUGUUGCUAACCCCUACACACUGUAGGGCAGGUGGCUACAACCAAGUCUGAUGUGCAGGUAAGUUCAUCCUCAGAACCACAAAUGAGAAAUGUAAGAUUUAGAACAAAUUACCUAUGAUGCUCGUUUUUCCUCCAAAGAUUGAACCUUUUUUCAGGUUUGCUGACAUGGGUCCUGGCAGGAUUUCUGGGUUUGUCUCUGGUUCUGUCCUUCGUCAUUGUUUCACUCAGCAAGUUCCACCUGGGUAGGUCCUACAGGAUUUUCCUCAUCAUUUUCUAUUUCCUCUUCCUCCUCAUUGCGCUGCUGACGGAGUUUGGCAAUAUCCGAAUGGUAUGAGACCGAAAACUAAAGCCAGGUUUGAAAUAAUGUGAAACAGAGACACUGGAACUGACACUGUACUGAGUGCAGAUGAGUAAGGACGUCUUUUGCACAGCUUAUAUUAAUAUACACAUCGAUGCACUUUUCAUAGAAUAAUUAACACUUGCCUCCUACAUAGCUAUGCUGUGUUUGGAAACCAAGCAGCAAAGGAAAUGACAAUAAAACUACAUUCUCUGCUCAGUCAGAUCUGACGUUAGUCACACUGUGCCUUAAUUCAGCAUCUUCUUUGUGCUGACACGAGCUGAGAUGGUACUUUGACAGAAUAAAAUAUUGUUUGUUUCAUAAAUAUAGCUAGUAAACUCUCAAAAUGUUAAAGAAAAUAAACAUGUAUUUAUAAGCUCUGAUAAUUGCAUUUUGUCUGUGUAGGUUUUCAGUCAUUCAGGU